UACGUAGGGGGCAAGCGUUGUCCGGAAUCAUUGGGCGUAAAGCGCGUGUAGGCGGCCCGGUAAGUCCGCUGUGAAAGUCCAGGGCUCAACCCUGGGAUGCCGGUGGAUACUGUCGGGCUCGAGUCCGGAAGAGGCGAGUGGAAUUCCUGGUGUAGCGGUGAAAUGCGCAGAUAUCAGGAGGAACACCGAUGGCGAAGGCAGCUCGCUGGGACGUGACUGACGCUGAGACGCGAAAGCGUGGGGAGCGAACAGG
rnacentral:rRNA from 1 species